rnacentral:lncRNA from 1 species
GUUUUCCCAAUUCAGCUUUAUCUGAUGCCUGCAUGUAAUAACUUGAGCACUGGCAUAAGUAAAAAUAAAAUACUAGGUUGCUUCUUACUUAGUUUCUAUUCUUUAGGUUAAAAUCUUCCUUGGAAAAUCUGGCCCCACAGUCUGUCAUAAUAAAAUCCUACAUGGAAGCCAAUAUCAAUUAACUGAAAUUAGCAUGGAGGCAGAAUCUAUUUUCCACACUUGCUCUGCAGCCAUUCUGCCUGGAAGCAUAUGUGCUCAUUACUGUUAUUUUGAACAUAUUAGUUUUUCUAGGUUCAAAAGAAAGAGGAGUGAAGAGGAGUAAAACAUACAUCUAUUAUAAAGCAAGAAGGUUAAAUAAAUGGAAGCUUUUUAUUUUUCUUUCUCUGCCUAAGGGAGAUGCCAUUGCCUUUCAUCAAGAAAACAUGUCAGGAGAUCUAAAUGUAACAAAUACUCCCCCAAAGAAUUGGAACUUCAGCAAUGGGAAGAAGCAGAAGCUCUGUCAAUCUUAACAAAUUAACAGGCAGAUUGGUGGUUGCUGCGUGGUAGAAGCUUGGCUCAUCAGAAAGUUCCAGCCUCCAACCACAGUUGAAACGGCCCACAUCCAUUGGAGCAAAGAAAAAGGGGAAUUGGGACUGAAGUCUGGACCUUGUGACUUCCAUAACAGUGUUUCUUCUGCCUGCACCAGAGAGCCAAGGAGACCCCAGGACCCUGGAGGUCUGAGGGCUUUCUCAGAACUGUCCAACUUUUCAGCCACAAGAAAACCUAAAGGCAAAGAAGGUUUCCUUCUGCUCUUGUGUACUGAGGUUUCUUCAGCCAUGUCUGAACUCAGAAAUUGCCACUUCAUAUUUUACGGUCAUAUUCAGGUUCCCAGAUUGUAAUGAUGAACAAGAUGUAAUGUAGAUGAAUCAUGUCUAGAACACAAGAAAUGUUCCCCCCAAACAAGAAGGCAACAUCAGACACCUAGAGUUUGUAGUGUGGAGCAUCUAUAAGGUAAACAAACCAACUAAAAACAGAACUUAUAGAUUUACUGUAAUUACAUAUGAAACAUAUGAAAUAGUGCCUGAUAUAUAGUAAGUAUUUGUUUAUUAUUGUUGUUCUUAUUGUUGGUUGUCUUUUAUAACAAUUCGAAGGCAUUUUAAAGUAUCUCUCCCCAGCUAGAUGGACAAUGAUGAGAUAAAGUGGUAA